AAAAUAACAAUGAUUACCUCAGUAGCGGCGAGUGAAGAGGUGAAAGCCCAAGAUGUUAAUCUGUGUUAAAGACAUAGAAUUGUAAUCUAUGGAAUCAAUCAGAAAGCGAAAGCCUGCCAUAAGUCCCUUGGAACAGGGCGCCAGAGAGGGUGAAAGCCCCGUCUUCGGGUGGGACGACGCAAUUUGAAAGAUUUCUAA
rnacentral:rRNA from 1 species